GUGUGGUUCUUCAAAUAUGAUGUUUCUUGAAGUUGCUUAUCUGGCUUCGUUUCUCAUGUGGGAACAGAAUAUUGUCUGGGGAUGGUGACCGACAAUGGCAACAUUCUUGUUACUCAAGGGCACUGGAUUCUUACAAAUUUUUCUAAAUUUUUCUCUUUAUUUCCAGCUGAGUCUGAUCACACUCUUUGUAGAGAUAAACUGAUGGUCUCUGCCUCAUCCAAACUUCCAUUUGAGCACCUCUCUCAGUUGGAAAGGGGGAAAAGCUUUGUAUAUUCUUCUACUACCACAUAUGUAUCAGAGCUUCAAGGAACUGUUCUUUCAGUACAGAGUUUGGCUUCUGAAACCAAAGUGAGACAAAACGGGAGAACACAGAAGGGAGACUAAUUCUUACUCCACG
rnacentral:lncRNA from 1 species